rnacentral:pre_miRNA from 1 species
GAAGAGUGAACUGCUCCUUCUCCUAUACCCAUUGCAUAUCGGAGUUGGGAAGUCUCAAUACACCUCCUAUGUGCAUGGAUUACAGGAGAGUGGGCCUCAACAUCAU